rnacentral:tRNA from 1 species
UAUUAUGAAGUAAAUAAUUACAUAUUAAUUUCGACUUAAUAUUAGGGGGUAAACCCCCAUAAUUU